AAAGACUAAAUACUGAUGCCAUAACCCC
rnacentral:sRNA from 1 species